CCUACGGGAGGCAGCAGUAGGGAAUCUUCCGCAAUGGGCGAAAGCCUGACGGAGCAACGCCGCGUGAGUGAUGAAGGUUUUCGGAUCGUAAAGCUCUGUUGCCAGGGAAGAACGUCUUGUAGAGUAACUGCUACAAGAGUGACGGUACCUGAGAAGAAAGCCCCGGCUAACUACGUGCCAGCAGCCGCGGUAAUACGUAGGGGGCAAGCGUUGUCCGGAAUUAUUGGGCGUAAAGCGCGCGCAGGCGGCUCUUUAAGUCUGGUGUUUAAUCCCGAGGCUCAACUUCGGGUCGCACUGGAAACUGGGGAGCUUGAGUGCAGAAGAGGAGAGUGGAAUUCCACGUGUAGCGGUGAAAUGCGUAGAUAUGUGGAGGAACACCAGUGGCGAAGGCGACUCUCUGGGCUGUAACUGACGCUGAGGCGCGAAAGCGUGGGGAGCAA
rnacentral:rRNA from 1 species